rnacentral:rRNA from 1 species
AAUGAACGCUGGCGGCGUGCCUAAUACAUGCAAGUCGAGCGAACAGAUGAGGAGCUUGCUCCUCUGACUUUAGCGGGGGAGGGGUGAUUAAAACGUGGAUAACCUAACUAGCAGACUGGGAUAACUACGGGAAAAAGUAGCUACUAACGGAUAAGUUAGUGAACCGCAUGGUUCACUAGUGAAAGAAGGUGGUGCUUAGCCUGAUAGCGGGAGACGGGCAGGAUUAGCGAGUUGGUCCGCUAACGGCUUACCAAGGCAACGAUUUGUACGCGACCUGAGAGGGUGAUCGCCCACACGGGCACUGAGACACGGUCCAGACUCCUACGGUAGGCAGCAGUAGGGAAUCUUCCGCAAUGGGCGAGAGCCUGACGGAGCAACGCCGCGUGAGUGAUGAAGGUCUUCGGAUCGUAAAACUCUGUUAUUAGGGAAGAACAACUGUGUAAGUAACUAUGCACGUAUUGACGGUACCUAAUCAGAAAGCCACGGCUAACUACGUG